GUUCGCCAGAGGAUUACAAGCGAAAGCUUAAAACUCAAAGGACUUGACGGUGUCCCAUAUCGCCCUAGAGGAGCCUGUCCAAUAAUCGACACCCCACGCUAAACCUCACCCCUUCUUGCACCCCAGCCUAUAUACCGCCGUCGCCAGCCUGCCUGAUGACAGCAAUAAAGCUAGCAAAACUAACCAUACCUUACAAACGUCAGGUCAAGGUGUAGCUAAUGAAGGGGCCAUGAGAUGGGCUACAUUUCUUAACCUAAGAAAUCACCAAACGUAACAUGAAACAUGAACCAAAAGGUGGAUUUAGCAGUAAGACCAGUAAGAUUUGCUGGCCUGAA
rnacentral:rRNA from 1 species